rnacentral:rRNA from 1 species
UACAGAGGUCCCAAGCGUUGUUCGGAUUCACUGGGCGUAAAGGGUGCGUAGGUGGUUGGGUAAGUCUGAUGUGAAAUCUCCGAGCUCAACUCGGAAAUGGCAUUGGAUACUAUCUGGCUAGAGGGUUUGAGGGGGGACUGGAAUACUUGGUGUAGCAGUGAAAUGCGUAGAUAUCAAGUGGAACACCAGUGGCGAAGGCGAGUCCCUGGAAAACUCCUGACACUGAGGCACGAAAGCUAGGGGAGCAAACAGG